rnacentral:rRNA from 1 species
GUGAGGAAUAUUGGUCAAUGGGCGAAAGCCUGACCCAGCAACGCCGCGUGAAGGAAGAAGGUUUUCGGAUUGUAAACUUCUGUCCUCAGGGAAGAAGGAAGUGACGGUACCUGAGGAGGAAGCCCCGGCUAACUACGUGCCAGCAGCCGCGGUAAUACGUAGGGGGCGAGCGUUGUCCGGAAUGACUGGGCGUAAAGGGCGCGUAGACGGCUGUCUAAGUCUGGAGUGAAAGUCCUGCUUUCAAGGUGGGAAUUGCUUUGGAGACUGGAUGGCUUGAGUGCGGAAGAGGUAAGUGGAAUUCCCAGUGUAGCGGUGAAAUGCGUAGAGAUUGGGAGGAACACCAGUGGCGAAGGCGACUUACUGGGCCGUAACUGACGUUGAUGCGCGAAAGCGUGGGGAGCGAACAGGAUUAGAUACCCGGGUAGUCC